GACGAACGCUGGCGGCGUGCUUAACACAUGCAAGUCGAACGGAAAGGCCUCUUUCGGGGGGUACUCGAGUGGCGAACGGGUGAGUAACACGUGAGUAACCUGCCCUUGACUUUGGGAUAACUUCAGGAAACUGGGGCUAAUACCGGAUAGGAGCUCCUGCUGCAUGGUGGGGGUUGGAAAGUUUCGGCGGUUGGGGAUGGACUCGCGGCUUAUCAGCUUGUUGGUGGGGUAGUGGCUUACCAAGGCUUUGACGGGUAGCCGGCCUGAGAGGGUGACCGGCCACAUUGGGACUGAGAUACGGCCCAGACUCCUACGGGAGGCAGCAGGGGGGAAUAUUGCACAAUGGGUGGAAGCCUGAUGCAGCAACGCCGUGUGCGGGAUGACGGCCUUCGGGUUGUAAACCGCUUUCGCUCAUGACGAAGCUUUGCGUGACGGUAGUGGGUAAAGAAGCACCGGCUAACUACGUG
rnacentral:rRNA from 1 species